rnacentral:rRNA from 1 species
UACGAAGGGGGCUAGCGUUGCUCGGAAUCACUGGGCGUAAAGCGCACGUAGGCGGAUUGCUAAGUCAGGGGUGAAAUCCUGGAGCUCAACUCCAGAACUGCCUUUGAUACUGGUGAGCUUGAGUCCGGAAGAGGUGAGUGGAACUGCGAGUGUAGAGGUGAAAUUCGUAGAUAUUCGCAAGAACACCAGUGGCGAAGGCGGCUCACUGGUCCGGUACUGACGCUGAGGUGCGAAAGCGUGGGGGAGCAAACAGG